CCGAGGGCAGCGGGGGCUGCGCGAUACGCUACCCGCUGCGGGAAGGACUAAACCCGGGGCCGCUGCGGCUACAGCGGGCCGCGCCAAUGGCCGAGGGACACGGACUGUCCCCGGAGAACAAAUGCUGCGAGUCUCUAGGGGAAGGGGAGAGCAGACUCUCCCCCUCCCCCUUCCCCUUCCCGGGACAGACCCCCUACGGGUGCCUGCCCCGCCCAGCCCAAGCCACAGCAGGAGCCGGCAGCCGCCUGCCCCGGAGCAGCUUUGCAAGCUUGGGGGAGGGGGGCAGGGCUGGCGGGCGGGGAGGCAGCGCCUGGGCUAAAGAGCGGAGCAGCCGGGCUUUGGGAGGGCGCCGGAGCAGCCGGCUCCGCUCGGGGCGCGGGACUCCUCAGCCCCACCCGGAGCGCCCCCCGGCCGCCCGUACAAAGGCGGAGACGCGCUCGCCCCCAGCGCUCCGCACAAUCCGCAGAGGAGCCGGUUUCACCCGCGCCCCCGGCUCGGGGCAGGGCUGCGGCGCGGCGGUGUUAAGGGAGCUCAGCAGCCGCGGGGUCAUUUGGAAAAGGCUCUCUGAGGUUCCCCCCUUUGUGCGGCGGGCACUGGGGGACGGGUUAUGCACAGGGCUCCAGAGCCCGGCUAAUCCCAGGGUAAAUAUAAACAGCCUAGGCCGGAGAGUCCCCCAGGUAACGCCACAAUUUCCCUCCACAUCUGGGCGGCUACGAAUUCACAGGCCAUUUCCCCCUGUUUAUAUGUACCAGACCACAGCCAGGAGGGGAAACCCACCAAUAAAAGCGGCGUUUUUCUUAUCCCGAAGUAGCCAGUCUCUGUUUCUGCAAACGGAGAGGGAAGCGCCUUGCAUCCAAAUUGCUCGCUUUGUAAUAUCCUCGUUUUCCGUGCCUCGCAGAUAAACACCAAAGCGUAUCCGGAAUGGGGUGCUGCAGACCCAAACCAGCAUUGCACAGGCCACUGGAACCAACUGACACUCCGCUUUGUAAAUCGCUUCAAAAUUCAACUCGUUUUCCCAACCCAGACAACACUGGGAGUUCUAGGCGUGUGCAUCCCCCCGGAAGUCACUGGACAGCGCUUUUCUUUAAAGCUAGUUGUUUUUAACAGGACUCCUCAUAAUUAAGCUCCGCCUUUGCUCUUAAAUUAAGAGCUGACUAGAGCGGAGUAAAUAUUGGCCACUCUCCCACAUGCUUUCCACGAGAACGGGACCACUAGCUUCGAAAGCAGAGCUCUUUAGAGAAGCAUCAAAGAAAGGACACUCCUACAAGCAUGGGAUUCAAUGCUUAAAAAUACACUGCCGCGGUUAGAUUUGGCAAGACAAAAUGAAAACGGCUAAAAGACUCUGGACGUUAUAAACGCGGGACCUGUCGAUAUCUCCAUAACAUUUACUCUAAAAUCCCAUUAAGUACAAAGGAAGUACAACUCAGUGUAGGUACUAGGGUGUUCGCCUCCACUCCAGAUUUUAAGAGCUAUGCAAAU